rnacentral:rRNA from 1 species
UAAUACGAAGGGGGCUAGCGUUGCUCGGAAUCACUGGGCGUAAAGGGCGCGUAGGCGGCGUUUUAAGUCGGGGGUGAAAGCCUGUGGCUCAACCACAGAAUGGCCUUCGAUACUGGGACGCUUGAGUAUGGUAGAGGUUGGUGGAACUGCGAGUGUAGAGGUGAAAUUCGUAGAUAUUCGCAAGAACACCGGUGGCGAAGGCGGCCAACUGGACCAUUACUGACGCUGAGGCGCGAAAGCGUGGGGAGCAAACAGG